GCCUCCGUAGCUUAGUGGUAGAGUGAUCGGCUGUUAACCGAUUGGUCGUCGGUUCAAUCCCGACCGGGGGCG
rnacentral:tRNA from 1 species